rnacentral:rRNA from 1 species
UACGUAGGGUGCAAGCGUUGUCCGGAAUUAUUGGGCGUAAAGAGCUCGUAGGCGGUCUGUCGCGUCGGCUGUGAAAACCCGGGGCUCAACCCCGGGCCUGCAGUCGAUACGGGCAGACUAGAGUAUUGCAGGGGAGACUGGAAUUCCUGGUGUAGCGGUGAAAUGCGCAGAUAUCAGGAGGAACACCGGUGGCGAAGGCGGGUCUCUGGGCCGAAAUUGACGCUGAGGAGCGAAAGCGUGGGGAGCAAACAGG